GUGUCCUCCUCUGUGCAGCUCUGCAGGGCCAUAGUGCCUCAGCGAGGGUUCCUGCUCUUGAUCCUCCUUCCAUCAUUUUUCUCAGAGCACAAACAUCAUGCAGAACCUCCACAAACUCACAACCUUUAAAGGGCCAUCUUCAGCAUCCUUGAAGUCUAGAAGGUGCUAGGGCCCUUGCUUUCGGGCCAUGGGUAAGCAGUGUUGGCUUUGGAGCUUGGAAUCCCUUAUUCAGACAGAUCCCAAAGGAGCUCAUGUGGUGCACGGUGUUAUCAUCCCACUCUCUCGGAAUCAGGAGAGAGUCACAGUGCUGUUACACGCACGCUACGCUUUUCCCUGGUGAUACUCUGGGAAAUGCAGGCUAUCAUGCUCUCCUCAUUCAGCACUGAGUAAGUGCUUUGGAGUAAGUCAUCCUCUCUAGGCCAAGGAUUCACCCCUCAAAGAACUGAUUCGGACUACUCACUGGACAAUGCAGAUCACAGGAAAUGAGAAACGAGAAGAUUUGGAACUUUCUUUAGAUGUAAGAAAACGAAGCUCUUAACUUUAAUGAACGUGUUCAGGAGGAGACCUUUGCACACAAGCAAGUCACCAGCUUCAUGUGACUGUCAUCAGAUGCUGGAAAAGAAAAUCAGGCUCCGUUUCCCUCAAGCCUGGAGAAGACGACGUGUACACACUCUGGAACCUGGUCAGUCCUGGAGACUCCAUGAUAUCAAACCACUAAGACACAAAGACUUCUUACACCAGGAAAGGGGUAGAAUGAGACACGUUAAACUUGUGACACCAGAAGCUGCCAGCCUGCUGCUUCAUUCAGUGAUGGACUUCUAUCCCUCUGGAGCUGCAAGCCAAGGCUCACCCCUUCUGCUGUGAUGGGGUGACAAAGUGACUAACAGAUCUAGAAAUCUCAGUGUGUGUCCACUGACUACAAGAAAAUGACAAAGGCCCAGGAAGACAAAAGAGCCAACAAUGACAGAAGCAGUGGCAGACCUGGAAGACAUGUCACCUCGCACUGGCGAAGGAACGGUGUUCCAUGAAGAGCCCUGGCCAGUCGCCGUGGACAAGGAGGUUCAUGUGGUGGGAGAACAGAGAUUUGUUUAAGAGGCAGAUGAUUCCAGAGGAGGAAAGCAGCUGUCGGGUGAGUAUCUGCCUCACUUACAGCAGAGUGAAUUAGAAUGGUGACCCACACAGUGUUUCUGGAAAGGUGAUGUAGAAGCCCGUCUCUGUUCCCCCUGCUAAGUCCAGCUGAAACGUCUGGGCACUGUGUGUAAAACAACACAAGAACACCCUGCAAGAUGGCAAGAAGACAAAGCA